rnacentral:rRNA from 1 species
UGGGGAAUAUUGCACAAUGGGCGCAAGCCUGAUGCAGCCAUGCCGCGUGUAUGAAGAAGGCCUUCGGGUUGUAAAGUACUUUCAGCGGGGAGGAAGGGAGUAAAGUUAAUACCUUGCUCAUUGACGUUACCCGCAGAAGAAGCACCGGCUAACUCCGUGCCAGCAGCCGCGGUAAUACGGAGGGUGCAAGCGUUAAUCGGAAUUACUGGGCGUAAAGCGCACGCAGGCGGUUUGUUAAGUCAGAUGUGAAAUCCUCGGGCUCAACCUGGGAACUGCAUCUGAUACUGGCAAGCUUGAGUCUCGUAGAGGGGGGUAGAAUUCCAGGUGUAGCGGUGAAAUGCGUAGAGAUCUGGAGGAAUACCGGUGGCGAAGGCGGCCCCCUGGACAAAGACUGACGCUCAGGUGCGAAAGCGUGGGGAGCAAACAGG